GUAGUCCACGCCCUAAACGAUGCGAACUGGAUGUUGGGUGCAAUUUGGCACGCAGUAUCGAAGCUAACGCGUUAAGUUCGCCGCCUGGGGAGUACGGUCGCAAGACUGAAACUCAAAGGAAUUGACGGGGGCCCGCACAAGCGGUGGAGUAUGUGGUUUAAUUCGAUGCAACGCGAAGAACCUUACCUGGCCUUGACAUGCACGGAACUUUCCAGAGAUGGAUUGGUGCCUUCGGGAACCGUGACACAGGUGCUGCAUGGCUGUCGUCAGCUCGUGUCGUGAGAUGUUGGGUUAAGUCCCGCAACGAGCGCAACCCUUGUCCUUAGUUGCCAGCACGUAAUGGUGGGAACUCUAAGGAGACCGCCGGUGACAAACCGGAGGAAGGUGGGGAUGACGU
rnacentral:rRNA from 1 species